CUCCGACAGACCUAGCUCCAGGCUGUCACCUCAGGUGAAGUCACCUGACCGUUCCAGGACUACUUACCGUUCUCACUCCACUCCAUCUACUUCAUCCUCCUUCCAAUCAGACGACCCGGUCCGCAGCUCCAGAACUCUCCUCCUUCCCUUUCAAUAAAUAUCAUUGUAAUUCA